rnacentral:tRNA from 1 species
GGGGAUGUAGCUCAGUGGUAGAGCGCUCGAUUCGCAUGUGAGAGGCCUCGGGUUCAAUCCCCGACAUCUCCA